UCAUUUCAUUGAAUUAUUGACUCCGGAGGAGCAGGCUGUGCGGAAGAGAGUGAGGGAGUUCAUGGAGAAAGAAGUUGCCCCCAUUAUGACAGAGUACUGGGAGAAGGCAGAGUUUCCAUUCCAUAUCAUUCCAAAGCUUGGAGCUUUAGGUGUUGUUGGUGGCUCUAUUAAGGGUUAUGGCUGUCCUGGCCUCUCCAUCACAGCCAAUGCCAUUGCAACAUCAGAGAUAUCUAAAGUUGAUGCAAGCUGUGGGACUUUUA